rnacentral:lncRNA from 1 species
GCUGUACAGCAUGGGUUUUUUUUCAUAUUUUAUAGUUUUAAAUUUGAAAGCAUAUAAAGGUUUUAUUUAACUAAAAAAUAAAAUUGAACAGAAAAGAAACAAAGUAAUCCAUACAUAUCAGUCAGAAGUCUUGGGCGGCUUCCUACCACCUACCCACUAAGUGCAAACUCCUCAUCCUGGCUUUAGCAUAUUCUGCAUCUGCCCCGCCACUCAUUCCCAUCUUACUUCCCAACCCACCUCCUCUCCUCACCCACAAACUAGUAACAUGAUUUGAGUACCCAGUUUAUCUCUCCAGCCAGACCACAGACCUCUUGAAAAUGAAAUCCCCCUCUGGUCCAUUGUGGACACCUUCAAUGCUCAAUCUCUAGAGUCGCCAUAGUACAAAUUGGUGAUAUUUCUGGCAUCUGCAAGCUAUUGGCUGGAAAAUUUGUAUUUAUUUUGAAGAAUUCAAGGAAGGCAGAAUUCUUUGAAAAAUACAUCAAAUAGCUGGCCAAAGCGUAACUUUCUAGUUAUAAAACAAAGAACAAUGGAAGCAACCCAAGUGUCCUAUGGAUGAAUGAAAAAAUAACACGUGCUAUAUGCAUACAAUGGAUUAUUAUUCAGCCUUCAAACGGAAGGAAACAUAAAAGGACCCUCGAGGACAUCCUGCCAAGCCAUGGCGAGUCCACACACGUGAGGUCCUAGAGUAGCCAAGGCCAUAGGGAUGGAAAGCAGGAUGGCAGAUUCCAGGUGCUGGGAGCAGAGGGAGUGAAGAAUUACUGUUUCAUGCGUACAGAACUUCAAUUCUGCAAACAGCUCUGCAGGUGGAUGGUGGUGAUGGCUGCGUUAACACUGUGUAGGUACCUAAGGCUACUGAACUGUAAACUUAUAGAUGGUUUCAGCGGUAAGUUUGAUGUCAUGUAUAUUUAACCACCCUGUUUAAAUUCUUUUAAAAAACCAAAGAAAAUGAGCCAUGAGAAUACCUUUUAACGGUGACCUUUUAAUACAUUAUUUCAAUAUAAACACAAUGGAACCAAGGAUCUCCUCUCCAGGGCCAUUAGAGAUCACCUAUGGAAGACAGAGCUGACUUUUGGCUUAAAACACGGCGCCACAUUCUCCCCCAAGAGUAUUUCCAACAGAACCAUUCUGCCCUUGAUCUGCUUUGCCCUCUCGGUUUUGUGUAACUAAGAAUUACACAAGGCUGAUUAAUUUAAAAGGUCUUCCUAAGAUCCGGAUGCUUGUUCCUCAUCAAAGCUUUGUAUUGGCAUCGAUCCAUAAUCUGUGUUGAUGCUUCUGAGUAGAAUGCUCUCUCCUUCCCCUCUGUUCCCACAAGAAAAAUCACCACACUAUAGUUACGGCUGAGGUUGAGAAAGCACUUGGGAAGAAUGUACCUUCUCAGGGUAAAACUCGGCAUCUUGCACCAACCACACGAAUGCAAGACGUAAACAAGAGAGGAAAGCUGUUUUCCGGGGGGGCAGGGGGAGAGGUACGUGCAAAUGCUCUGUACUUUCCAGUCAAUUUUUUGUGCAACUAAAACCGCUCUAAAAAACAGUCUUUGAAUUGAAAAAAAUAAAGCUCUGCAUCUUCAAUUCUGAGUUGUCGAUACAGCAAAUGACCUCAUUGACCCAUGAACAUAAAAAUGACGCUUUCUUACUAAGGAAAUAUAUACUCAUUUAAACAUGCAAUAUAUCUGGCCAGAAAUGAAGGGAUAUUUUGCUAGCCAGUCAUCUUUCUAAAUAUAUCUGAACUUUAGGGGAGGAAAAAUCAUUAGAACGCAAUCCCCAAGUUACAGCCCCCUAGUUUCUGCUCCUGACUGUAUUAGAAACCCCACGUUUCUAACACAUGGCUUUGCUUCUCUCUGGCCACUUAGAAAGUAUGGCCAGACAUAUUGAAGCCCUUGACCUUAGAGGCAAUUAAAUACUGGAAGAAGGAGGAAGAUAGUGAAAUGCCCUUCUAAGAAUUAUUUAAAAUGCAGAUAACAAGCUUACACUUACAGCUACGAUGGAAUAGCUGACAUCAAACUAAUCCUCCCGCUAAGAACAUUCUAUAAAAGCUGGGAAAGACCACACACAUGUGAACGAGGGAACACAUGCACGCGUGCACGCACACACACACACACACACACACACACCUGCUGCUUGAAGAUAAUGAAGAACAGCCAAAACAGCCAAUACUUGAGGGACAAAGAUCCCAAAGAGCAUAAAUGCUCACUGAAGGGAGCCCUCUGGCUGAGCUACAUUCUCCUUUAAGGACAGUGAAUAGCACACAAUGCAGAGCAGAGAGGUAAGGCAGAAAUCAGCAGCCUAGAGACCGCAGCAGUCUCAGUGGGCUAGAAAGACAACUGGAAUUCAUGGACCACUGAGGAGGAAGGGGUCAUUAAACACCAGGCUUUCAAUCAAGACUUUAGAAGAGCCAUGACCUAAGAUUAAGAACAAACUAAAAUAGUCCAGCCUCAACUGGCCCAAGGUGACCUUCCCAUGCUCUACCCAGGAAAAUUAAACCCUCUCGGAAGGAAGAUAAUAUCCAGAGUUUCUACAGAUUUUCAUACACAAUGUCCAGCAUUCAAGGAAAAAUACCAAACCCUCCAGAAAACAGAAACAAAUAAUUAAAACUAAAAUGAAAAACAGACAGGAGAAACAGAUCCCCUAGUGACCCAUACAUGCAUAUUGGAGCUAUCAGACAUGCAUGGACUUUUUCACUAACUGGCGAGAUACUUAAACCAACACUUCACAAGAAAAAGAGAAUAUACCUAAAUGGCCUCGAAGUAUAUGAAAAGAAACUCAAUAUCAUCAGUCAUCAUAAAAAGCAAAUUAAAGCCACAAUGAGAUAACACUACAAAUCUUCCAGAAUGGUUCAAAUAAAAUAUGUUAAAUGCUGGUUAGGACUAGAUCAAUUUGUGCAAAAAACUGCUGGUGUCAAAGUAAAUGGAUGGAAACACUUUGGAAAGUUGGUAUAUGCAGAAAUUACAAAAGCUAAACAUACAUAUGCCCUGUGAUCCAAUAAUCCUGCUUCUGGGUAUAUACAUUUUAAAAAAAUGAGUAUUUAUAUCAAUGGAAAGACAAUAGCCAUGGGUAUUCACAACAUCUUUAUUUAUAAUAUCUCAAAUUGCCCACAGCCCAAACGUCCAUCAACAGCAGAAUGUAUAUUCUGUGGUACCGUAUGGCUCCAACGCGAUAACAUAAGACAAUGAGAAAGAAAACCUCAUCCACAGAAUCCAGGCUCAAUGAAGCUCGUACACACGACACCGCGGUAAAAAGCCAGACAAAACGAGAACAUGCUGGAUGAUAUCCGCUGAUGAAAAAUAUUAAACCAGGUAGAACAGCCUACGGUGACAUGACCUGGAAUGUGGUUACAGUCAAUGGAGGCAGAUGAGCACUGACAGAGGGUACAGGAAAGACUGCGGAUGUGCUUGAAACAUUCUAUUCUUACUCUGGGCGGAAACCAGACAAACGUGAUCAUUUUAUGAGCUUGUACAUUACAAACCGUACCCUUAAGAUUCGCGCACAUAUAAUAUGCUUAAAUAAAAAGUAACCAAAAUAUGUACAAUAGUUAGAAAGAAAUGAUUUGGACACCUUAACAUUCUGGAACAAUGGGGGCAGAGGGCACCUGGACUGGCAGGCUUACUCCUCCUCCUGCACUGCACCAACUCACAGCUCCCUGCACUAACACACAUACCCUCUACACCCCUGUGCACACGUCGGUAUAUGCACAUACGCUUAAGUAAGCACAACGAGCUCAUUGAAGACAACCGGGAAAAGAUAUUACAAAUUAAGAAGGGGAGAGACUCUCAGAUUUUUAAUAAUGGGACCAUUUUAUUUUUCAUUUUUCAAUGAUCGCUAUCUUUUUAGUAUACAAGUCUGAUCAUUCUCCUCUCUUCUUAGAAGGUGUCAAGUUAUUCCACCACCUAUGGGACAGCGGUGACAGGCUGAGGAUACUGGGUGUUCUGUGUGGCCCUGUCUCUGCUCACUCUGUGCCCGAUGCCUACAAUGCUCUUCCCUGACCUCUCCAGCCUCAAAACCCCCCGCUCACCUUUCAAGGCCAGGUUCAAAUUUCACUUCUGCUUAGACCCUACUUGGAUGACACCUGUCACAACAUGCUGUGCUUAUGUGGGAGGCAGUAGAGCUGUUACUGCUGACUCUGGAAUCAGGCUGCCUGGGUUCAAGUCAGAUCUGUGACUUGCUAGCUGUGUGACUGUGCCAAUUAUUUAAUGUGUCUUUGCCUGAGCCUCAUGGAUAAAAGGAUAAAAUACCAGAAUUCUGCUCAGGAUAAUUCUGGGAGGACUCGAUGAGUUGACCUGGUUAAAGCGUCACCCAGCCCAAUACCAGGCACAUAGCUAGGACUCGGAUUGUCGGAUGUCUGUCUUCUUACAGUCGUCAGACGUCUGUCUCUUCACCCUGGACCAUGCACAUCCCACAGGAAGGACUUCUUUUUUAUCUUUUUACCCCUACUUCGUGCUCAGUUUAAAGUGACUUAUAAAUGUGUGAGAAAUGAAUGAAGGAUCUGCCAAAUCUUCCUGACAUUCUCUCUUGCUACACAUAGUGGGGAAAAAAAAAAGAGGAGGAAGAUGGGGAGGAAGAAAAGGGAGAAAGAAAAUGGAAGAAGCGAAGUGGAAGAGGAGGAAAGAGAAGGGGUGGAGGGAAGAAAUGCAAAGGAAAAGGAGGAGGAAGAAGCAGCAGAGGAGAGCAAUGACCUGCCGCUGCCAACGAGGGCACUUGAGUCUCGUGUCCACAGAAAACAGGCAUCAGCCACAGGACCCCACCGGCAGCAGCCCCUCUUGGUGCUAACUCUUUGGAACGCAGGAAUACGUUGGUCCUUAAUUUUGGUACAAAGCUCAACACUGCAUUCUGGCCCCUGGGCCAGGUUGAGUUGCACAACCAGGGCUCUACUCAGAGAGGGGACGCUCAGAUGGAAGACCCCCCUAGGAGACAAGGCUGCAAGGGCUGCACAGAGCCUGGACAGAGAGCUCCAGGUCACGCAGGGAGGAAUAAGGCGCCAGGCAUCCUAGGCUAGGCAUCCUCUCAUCCUCAAAUUCCCCAGGACAGCUGCAGGGCUGGAUGUGUGGAAUAUUUAAAGGUUGCCUUGCAGCCCAAGUAUCUUGCCAAAACCUGCUUUUACUGACUCCAGAUAUACUGGCUUCUGCUUCUCUUCCAGAGUCAGUGAUAAAUCCCCAAGAAUGCAUUAGUGAUUGCGAGCACCCAUAAAAAAAGAAAAGCCUUUGUUUUUCUGAUGAGGGAGGCUACAUAAAUUUUUAACUGAUUAUUAAGAAAAAAAGGCCAGCCUUUGCAGAAAAAAAGACAUUUCUCUCUGCCUCCGACUGAAUACCAAGGAGGCCUCCGGGGCCCUCACACUGGCUGGAGCCUGGUGUUUUUACCCCCGGCGCGGUGGGGCUGGCUCUACCCUGCCAGCUGGUCUCAAGGGCAAGCCCUAGAAUCACUGAAGAGGGGUCACAGUCCUCAGGAGUCAAAACCCACAAAGAGAACGCACGACAUCCUGGUGGCUGGCAGCGCCAUGGGCUUGCAGAGUUGUGCAGAAGCAUUAACCCGGGACCUUGGAAGGCGGUCAGGCCUGAGUGUGUGUUCCAGCUCUACCACUGGGUAGCCAGGCGGCCCGGGGCAAGUUA